AGUGAACGCUGGCGGUAGGCCUAACACAUGCAAGUCGAACGGCAGCACAGAGGAGCUUGCUCCUUGGGUGGCGAGUGGCGGACGGGUGAGGAACACAUCGGAAUCUACUCUGUCGUGGGGGAUAACGUAGGGAAACUUACGCUAAUACCGCAUACGACCUACGGGGGAAAGCAGGGGAUCUUCGGACCUUGCGCGAUUGAAUGAGCCGAUGUCGGAUUAGCUAGUUGGCGGGGUAAAGGCGCACCAAGGCGACGAUCCGUAGCUGGUCUGAGAGGAUGAUCAGCCACACGGGAACUGAGACACGGACCAGACUCCUACGGGAGGCUGCAGUGGGGAAUAUUGGACAAUGGGCGCAAGCCUGAUCCAGCCAUACCGCGUGGGUGAAGAAGGCCUUCGGGUUGUAAAGCCCUUUUGUUGGGAAAGAAAUCCAUCUGGUUAAUACCCGGGUGGGAUGACGGUACCCAAAGAAUAAGCACCGGCUAACUUCGUGCCAGCAGCCGCGGUAA
rnacentral:rRNA from 1 species